rnacentral:rRNA from 1 species
GUUGAUCCUGCGGGAGGUCGCUACUAUUAGGGUUCGACUAAGCCAUGCAAGUCAGAGGGGCUCUUCGGAGUCACAGGCAAAAUGCUCAGUAACACGUCGUUAAUCUAACCUUAGAUCUGGAAUAACCUUGGAAAACUGAGGCUAAAACCGGAUAUGGGAAAAUAAUUGGAAAAUGUUUUCCUUUAAAAGCAAUGUCUAAGGAUGAGACGGCGGCGGAUUAGGUUGUUGGCGGGGUAAUGGCCCACCAAGCCGACGAUCCGUAGGGGCCGUGAGAGCGGUAGCCCCGAGAAGGACACUGAGAUACUGGUCCUAGCCCUACGGGGUGCAGCAGGCGCGAAACCUUUACAAUGCACGAAAGUGUGAUAAGGGAACCCUAAGUGCUCAUGUUUUACAUGGGCUUUUGCCAAGAAUAAAUAUCUUGGCGAAUAAGUGGUGGGAAAGACUGGUGCCAGCAGCCGCGGUAACACCAGCGCCACAAGUAGGGACCACUACUAUUGGGCCUAAAGCGUCCGUAGCCGGCUGAAUAAAUUUCUUGUGAAAUUGUUGGGCUUAACCUAACAACGUGCAGGAAAAACUGUUCAGCUUGGAACCGGGAGAAGUCAGGAGUAUGCUGGGGGGAGCGGUAAAAUGUUAUAAUCCCCGGUAGACUACCAGUGGCGAAGGCGCCUGACUAGAACGGAUUCGACGGUGAGGGACGAAAGCCAGGGGAGCGAAGCGGAUUAGAUACCCGUGUAGUCCUGGCCGUAAACGCUGCGAGCUAGGUGUUGCAUAUUCUACAUGAAUAUGCAGUAUCGAAGCGAAGGUGAUAAGCUCGCCGCCUGGGAAGUAUGGUCGCAAGGCUGAAACUUAAAGGAAUUGGCGGGGGAGCACUACAAGGGGUGCGGCGUGCGGUUUAAUCUAAUUCAACGCAGAGAAUCUCACCAGAAGCGACGGCAGGAUGAAAGUCAGGCUAAAGGUCUUACUUGACGAGCCGAGAGGUAGUGCAUGGCCGCCGUCAGCUCGUGCUGUAAAGUGUCCUGUUAAGUCAGGCAACGAGCGAGACCUGCAUCUACAAUUGCUAACGGAUUCUUUAGAAUGACUGAGCACAUUGUGGAGACUGCCCUGGAAACAGGGAGGAAGGUGCAGGCUACGGUAGGUCUGUAUGCUCCGAAUCUUCUGGGCUACACGCGCGCAACAAUGGUAAGGACAAUGGGAUGCGACUCCGAAAGGAGGAGCUAAUCCUCGAAACCUUAUCCAAGUCUAGAUUGAGGAUUGUAACUCAUCCUCAUGACAAUGGAAUCCCUAGUAAUCAGAGUUUAUCAUACUCCGGUGAACAUGUCCCUGCUCCUUGCACACACCGCCCGUCAAGCCACCCGAGUAGGGUUUAGGUGAGAGGUAAAUUUUAUUUGCAUCGAACCUAAGCUCAGCGAGGAGGGCUAAGUCGUCACAAGGUA